UAUCAGGGGACGAUAACGUGGGAAAUGUUCCCGCCACGAUCAUGCGCCCAGGCUGCGAACUUUCUCGAAGAGGUGUUGAGAACAUAAACAGAAGUGUUAAGUGGCUUAGCUCCAUGGAGACUGGCGUGUGAAUGAACAUCCAGAUCCUUCUUCUCCGUCCCUCCUCGUAAGCUUCGAGCUGGAAUAGUCGUAAAUAAUGAUUUAGGCCAGGAGUCCUGGGGCAGAGAACACCCGAGGUCCAGUAGAACCUUAAAUAGGGGACAGCUGGCCUCCAAGAUCCAAAUAGCACACCAGGACUGCACGUAAUGACUCACACAUGGAAAGGAUCGGAGUGCCUGAGAUUUGUUUCAGCCUCUGUCAUUAGUGUGUGCAAACUUCAAGGGUGAAAUUCAAGUCAUGAUUCUAACUUUCAAAAUACAUUCUUUUUUUUUUUAAUUCAGGUUAAUUGACAUAGAACAUUAUAUUAGUUUCAGGUGUACAACAUAAUGAUUUCAUGUUUGUAUAUGGGACCCAAUGAUCACCAAGUAAGUCUAGUUAACAUCCAUCACCACAUAUAGUUACAAAAAAAUGUUUUUGCCCCUACUGAUGAGGACUUCUAAGAUCUACCGUCUCAGGGACUUUCAAAUACGCACACCGUAUUAUUAACUGUUAGGUCACCAGGCCGCAUAUUAUAUCCCCCUGACUUAUUUAUUUUAUAACUGGAAGCUUGUACCUACCAUGAACUCUUUGGUGCUGUGGGGUCACUGGCCCUUUACUUAACUCACCAGGAUCUGUCUAAACUAUGACAAAUGAAAGUCCUCUUGCUAAAAUCAUGUGGGACUGAGGCUUCUCCACGCAGGGCUCCAGCUUGAUACUUCACACAUAAAAGCAAAUGUCCUUGGGGGGCCUGGAGGGCUCAGUCGGUUGAGCAUCCAACUUUGGCUCAGGUCAUGAUCUCACGGUUUGUGAGUUCAAGCCCCACGUCGGGCUCUGUGCUGACGGCUGGGAGCCUGGAGCCUGCUGUGGAUUCUGUGUCUCCCUCUCUCUCUGCCCCUCCCCCACUCGUGCUCUGUCUUUCUCUCAAAAAUAAAUAAACAUUAAAAAAAAUUUAAAAAUAAAAAAGCAAAUGUCCUUCACGCAAAUCCUGUGUUUGGCUAACUUAUAAGACUCGAACAAUCCCGGGUCAAACUAACAUAACUAGAAUUGCAGGUGUCUGUGACUUUCUAUUUGUUCAGUUCAUCACGUGAUAUCACUUAAGUGAAGGAUGGCAUCACAGACUCAGAAACGGUUGUUGGUGCCCAAGUCAGAUCGGCAGCCUGUGCGGUGAUUGAUGGUGGGAUGCUAUCUGCCCCUGGUAUGCAAUCUGACAGGGUGAGCAGGCAGGUAAAGCAGGCGCCCGUGACACCAGGAAAGUCAGCGAUAACUUGGGUCAGUACUGAUCUUCGGGCUUUCUUUAAACAAGUAACUCACAGUGUGUGACAGGGAGAUUAUCACCAGAGACAGUUACACCUCGUUCUUCUUUAACUGAUUUUCUGUUUCUGUAGGUUCUUUCUUACAUCAUAAUGCAAAGCCAGUCUUCCAAGGUCAAGAAUAAAGAGCAUCCCUCAGUAGAAAAAAUAUAUGAAUUUUGGGGCACCUGGGGUGGUUCAGUUGGUUAAGCGUCCGACUUCGGCUCAGAUCAUGAUAUCGCAGUCUACCAUGUUGAAGGUGUUCUGCUGUUUUGGUUCUGUUGUUCCUGAACUGACCGUCUACGUCAUCAUCAGUAGCCCUCAGCCUAGAAAGUUCGAAAGCGUCACGGUCCAGCGUGGUAGCGGCCAGCCACGUGUGGCAGCCAAGCACCUGGAAGGCAGCUGGUCCAGACUGAGAUGCAAAAUGACUAUAGAAAACCCACCAGAUUCCAAAGACUUGGUGAAAACAAAAAACGGAAAAUAACAACACUUUUUAUAUUG